GCGGGGAGACAGGGCCGGGCCUCAGGGCCGGCCGACGCGGGGCCAGUGUCAGUGAGCGCAUAGCGUGUCCCCAUGGCAGCCGCAUCAUGCUUGAUCUUACAGUGUGUCACCAGGUGUUUCAUCGCAGCCCUUCCUCAACCACAGCCAGAAGGGACACAACCCCAGAGCUGCCUGCACUCAAGGACAGGGCUGCCAGCCUCCAAAACAUCCAUGGCUGCCAAGGUCUCCUCCAGAGCCUGCUGAGGCCCCCAGUGCUAAUCUCUCCUUCUGAAACAACUGGUUAUCAUUAUUAUUAUUAUUAUUAUUCUGUGUUGUGAAACCUUGAUGGAAGGGCUCCAUUUCCAGCUGCCUUAUCACUGCACUGGGCGCUGGGAGAUGCCGUGGUCUGCAAGAUGAACGAGAUGAAGAGCAGAAGUGAGAACAUGAUGCUGAGCGUUUCUGCUCUUGCUUUUGUUGUUUCAUGCUCUGAGAUGGAAAUAAAUGAAGUCAGCUGGAAGAGCACACCUCCGGCAUCUCUCACUGUGGCUUCCCACUGCGGUCAGAAUCUCUCUCUGCAUCAUCACUUAAUUAAAUGAGAAAGUGGUCACCUCCCAAAAUACUGUGCGUGGCUAUAGCGAUACAGGAGGGGCAAGGAAAGCCUGACCAAAAAAAAAAAAAAACCAAAAAAAACUUCGUUAGCUCCUCUGAAGUUCAGCAGCUCUUGCAUGUCAUGCCGACGGCUGCCAAACCUGGUGCUGUGCGAGACCAGAUGGAUGUCACUUUGGAUGUGUUAACACCCGCGAGGAAAUCUGCGCUCCGCCGGCAGUCACCAUGGAGAUCCGAUGGAAGCCUUCGGAGGACCAGAAGCAAAGAGACGCGUCAGUGAUAUCAUGGAAGCAGAUAAAAAUAGCAGGGCACUUUCUGAGCCCAGCAGACUGGCGUAGCGUUCCCCCAGGGCUGGUUCGGCAUCCGCCGUCAGUGGAGCGCUGUGCAUUUUGCGCUCUCCUCCUCGCUGGCGUGGCAGAAGGCUGGUGCCUCCAGCAAUGCAGCUCCCAACUGCAGCCCCCUGGGGCAAAACAGAGCGAGGAGAUGGGCUGGCAUUCAAAGUCUUUGGGUUCCAGACCACUGAGACGAGCUACCUGUGGCUGCAGGAGAUGUAUCAUGUGCUGCUUGCUGUGAUACGUGCCUGGCUCCAGGGUAAAACCUACAGCUAUCCCCAUCUACCGCUGUUAGAUUACAGCUAAGAAGAUUACUGUUUUCAUCUCAAUUAGUAGGGAUCUGAGCCAAUGUUCCUGAAGUCAGUGGUAAAUAUUGCAUUGUCUUCACUGAGCCUCAGAAAUAGGAUUAAGCACCAGAGGCUGGAGCGUGGGUGGCUGGCGAUGAUGCCGAAGGGUUUGAAUUACAGCGUGAGGAAUGAUACGGAAGCCAG